AGCUCCAAUAGCGUAUAUUAAAGUUGCUGCAGUUAAAAAGCUCGUAGUUGGAUUUCUGGUUAGAUUCGUCUGGCCCGCCACGGUUACGUGCGUGAGUGCUGGAUCGAAUCUGCCAUCCUUCGUUUAUGACUAGUAACUCUUUAUUGGGUGCUAGUUCGUGAACGAUCGUUUACUUUGAAAAAAUUAGAGUGUUUCAAGCAGGCUUUAGCUUUGAAUACAUUAGCAUGGAAUAAUAAAGUAGGACUUCGGUUCUAGUUUGUUGGUUUGGAGAGCUGAAGUAAUGAUGGAUAGGGACAGUUGGGGGUGCUAGUAUUCAGCGGCCAGAGGUGAAAUUCUUGGAUUCGCUGAAGACUCACUACGGCGAAAGCAUUCACCAAGGAUGUCUUCU
rnacentral:rRNA from 1 species